UUAGCGGCGGACGGGUGAGUAACACGUGGGUAACCUGCCUAUAAGACUGGGAUAACUCCGGGAAACCGGGGCUAAUACCGGAUAACAUUUUGCACCGCAUGGUGCGAAAUUGAAAGGCGGCUUCGGCUGUCACUUAUAGAUGGACCUGCGUCGCAUUAGCUAGUUGGUGAGGUAACGGCUCACCAAGGCGACGAUGCGUAGCCGACCUGAGAGGGUGAUCGGCCACACUGGGACUGAGACACGGCCCAGACUCCUACGGGAGGCAGCAGUAGGGAAUCUUCCGCAAUGGACGAAAGUCUGACGGAGCAACGCCGCGUGAGUGAUGAAGGCUUUCGGGUCGUAAAACUCUGUUGUUAGGGAAGAACAAGUAUGAGAGUAACUGCUCGUACCUUGACGGUACCUAACCAGAAAGCCACGGCUAACUACGUGCCAGCAGCCGCGGUAAUACGUA
rnacentral:rRNA from 1 species